GUGCUGUGAAGAUCUAAUUUUCGUGUUCCAAAGAUAGUCUCUCAUGACACUGUGAUGGCACACAAUCCUCUAAGAAGGUCUGAGCAC